rnacentral:sRNA from 1 species
GCCACAUGUUGGGGUGCAUGCCUGUAAUCCCGGCAUCUUGGGAGGCUGAGGCAGGAGGAUUGCAACUUCAAGGACAUCCUCAGUAAUUAGUGAGGCCUUAAGUAAUUUUGUGAGACCCUGUUUCCA